AUGCCUAUAUCACCGAUCCCAAUGGAUAAUAACAAGAAAAUUUGAAGAUCGAAGAUUCUAUUAAAAAUUAAGAUCUUCAUGUGGUAUUUUCAAAAGGGAGUGGUGCUAACCAAAGAUAACCUUGUCCGUCACAACUGGUAAGGAAGCAAGAAGUGUAGCUUUUGUACUGAUGACGAGACAAUCAGACACCUCUUUUUCCAGUGCAAGUUUGCGCGUUCUACGUGA
rnacentral:rRNA from 1 species